GAAGCCGAAAAAAUAUUACUUUUGGACGGCCGGCUUUGAGACGCACUACCGGUUUCGAUUUAAACGGAAAGCCCACCUCACUCACCACGCUGCUUUCCUCUCUCCAUCUCGUCGCCGCCGCCGGCGAUCAAUGGCGAAGAACGCACAGUCCCAGAGCUUGCCGGCCGAUGUUACCCAUCUCAUUGACCAGCUCGAACGCCAUUCCCUCGCUCCGGAUGGCUCCUACGUCUCCAAGUCCGCCCACGCCGAUCUCCAGCUCGCGAGGGAGGAGAUGGCCAGAGAGAGGACGCGAUACUUGGAAGCCAUGGCGGUUUAUUGCGAGGCAAUUUCAAUGGUAGAAGAAUACCAUCAGGCGGUGUCUGCUGCGAACCUCGGGGGACUUAGAGAUAUUCAGGGUCAGGCUUUCUACCAACAGCUCGGCUUGAAUUGCUCUCCCCAGGUUUAUGAAUCUCUUGAGCAUCGAUUAGCUGUUGCUGAGGCUGCUCAAAGAUUGAGACUUCCUCUUCUUUCUAAAGAUGGGGAAAUUCAUGAGGAAGAGAUUGAAAAAUUGAGCAUGACAUCAAGAAGCUCUCUUGAUAGCACAACUACCAGUAUCACACCCAGCUCAAGUUCAAACUCAACAAGUUUCAAUAAUAGUUAUGCAACUAGCAAUAUCAGUAUGUUGGGCCUUGCUUCUCCACCUAAUAGUGAUAUGGUUGAACCUGGAGUUGGUGGAGUGCCAAAUCGUUUUCUUGGAGUAACACCAGCUUAUCUAUGGCAAGUCCAGCAAGAGCAGCCUGCCAUGGCUGUGGAUAUGGCGGAAUAUCAGAGAUCCCUUGUUAGGGAAAUUGAAUCUCGCUUAGAAGCUAAGUGUGAUACAUUAGCUGAUGUGUUUGCAAUGGAUGAAAUAGCAGACUCCUCUUCCAUUAGUCAGAUAGCAAGUGCUCGCCUUCCAGAAAGGGUAAAACUAAUUAUUGAGGAGAUUGAAAGAGAAGAGGCUGUUUUGCUAGAGGAUCUAUAUUCAAUGGAUAGGAAGUUUGCAGAACACUAUAAUGUUCUAGAGCAGAUACUUGGGGUUCUUGUCAAGUUUGUUAAGGAUCUAAAGUUGCAACAUCAGCAUCAAUACGAUGAACUAAGGAAAACUUGGCUCUGUAAGAGGUGCCAAACAAUGAAUGCAAAAUUGAGCGUUCUGGAGCAUCUCCUCUUGCGGGAUACUUACACUAAGGAGUCUGUGCCGGCUCUGCAUAGGAUUCGGAAAUAUCUCUUGGAAGCAACAGAAGAAGCAUCCAUCGCCUAUAAUAAAGCAGUUACACGUUUGAGGGAGUAUCAAGGUGUGGAUCCACAUUUUGAUACGAUUGCCAGACAAUAUCAUGAUAUUGUAAAGAAAUUGGAAGGCAUGCAAUGGACAAUUCACCAAGUUGAAAUGGAUUUAAAGCGCUCACUCGAGGGCCCAAACUCUUGAGUCUAUUCUGAGAACCGUAGCAUUUGUUGUACAACUUGUGUCAGAAACUUCCAUGCACCAGUGAUUGGCCCAUAUCUGCUAGGUAACAGAGAUGGCCAACUAUUUUCAACAGAUGCAGCCAUCCAAAUGUAGAGUUUGCGGAACCCUGUAUAAUGGAGACGAGUUGUUUACAGCUUUCAUCUGUGUCUUGGCAACCUUAAUUCCCAUGGUCUGGUUUUGGUCACUUGAAUCAUUUAAGUGGAGAAACUUAUUUCAGUAUUUUUGCUUUUCAUUUCUGGUUCCCUAUUGUUGUUGUACUUUUGAUCCAUAGCUACGUGAGCCAAGAUGUAAGCGACAUGAAGUGUCUAUGAAGCUACUUUUGUAUUCCCGUGGUAUGUAAUUAUUCAUGUAAUGUAGGAGUUCUGUUUCACUUGCUACAAUUUA